GACAGAGGAUGCAAGCGUUAUCCGGAAUUAUUGGGUGUAAAGCGUCUGUAGGUGGCUUUUCAAGUCCGCCGUCAAAUCCCAGGGCUCAACCCUGGACAGGCGGUGGAAACUACCAAGCUGGAGUACGGUAGGGGUAGAGGGAAUUUCCGGUGGAGCGGUGAAAUGCAUUGAGAUCGGAAAGAACACCAACGGCGAAAGCACUCUGCUGGGCCGACACUGACACUGAGAGACGAAAGCUAGGGGAGCAAAUGGG
rnacentral:rRNA from 1 species